rnacentral:rRNA from 1 species
AUUGCCUUAGUAACGGCGAGUGAAGCGGCAACAGCUCAAAUUUGAAAUCUGGCUCUUUUAGGGUCCGAGUUGUAAUUUGCAGAGGGCGCUUUGGCUUUGGCAGCGGUCCAAGUUCCUUGGAACAGGACGUCACAGAGGGUGAGAAUCCCGUACGUGGUCGCUAGCUAUUGCCGUGUAAAGCCCCUUCGACGAGUCGAGUUGUUUGGGAAUGCAGCUCUAAAUGGGAGGUAAAUUUCUUCUAAAGCUAAAUAUUGGCCAGAGACCGAUAGCGCACAAGUAGAGUGAUCGAAAGAUGAAAAGCACUUUGGAAAGAGAGUCAAACAGCACGUGAAAUUGUUGAAAGGGAAGCGCUUGCAGCCAGACUUGCUUGCAGUUGCUCAUCCGGGCUUUUGCCCGGUGCACUCUUCUGUAGGCAGGCCAGCAUCAGUUUGGGCGGUGGGAUAAAGGUCUCUGACACGUUCCUUCCUUCGGGUUGGCCAUAUAGGGGAGACGUCAUACCACCAGCCUGGACUGAGGUCCGCGCAUCUGCUAGGAUGCUGGCGUAAUGGCUGUAAGCGGCCCGUCUUGAAACACGGACCAAGGAGUCUAACAUCUAUGCGAGUGUUUGGGUGUCAAGCCCGAGCGCGUAAUGAAAGUGAACGGAGGUGGGAACCCGCAAGGGCGCACCAUCGACCGAUCCUGAAGUUUACGGAAGGAUUUGAGUAAGAGCAUGGCUGUUGGGACCCGAAAGAUGGUGAACUAUGCUUGAAUAGGGUGAAGCCAGAGGAAACUCUGGUGGAGGCUCGCAGCGGUUCUGACGUGCAAAUCGAUCGUCAAAUUUGGGCAUAGGGGCGAAAGACUAAUCGAACUAUCUAGUAGCUGGUUCCUGCCGAAGUUCCCC